rnacentral:lncRNA from 1 species
GGGAGAUUCCCAUUGGAAUGGAUAGAACUCUGACUAGGGUUCACGAUUCCAACGAGCUAUACAUUUGUAAUAAGAAAAACUAUUGAUUUUGUUUUUUUGUUUUUUUUUGAAAAAAAUAACAUUCUGAAACCCUAUUAUAAUGUAAAAGGUUGAAAUUGAAAUAUUAACAAAUAUUGACUUUUAAAUUGGGACAAGGGCAAUACCACGGAGGAUGGUUCUCGUCAGAUAUCCA